rnacentral:rRNA from 1 species
GCGUGGGGAGCAAAUAGGUUUAGAUACCCUAGUAGUCCACGCCGUAAAUGAUGAGUACUAAGUGUUGGGGGUCGAACCUCAGUGCUGCAGUUAACGCAAUAAGUACUCCGCCUGAGUAGUACGUUCGCAAGAAUGAAACUCAAAGGAAUUGACGGGGGCCCGCACAAGCGGUGGAGCAUGUGGCUUAAUUCGAUGCAACGCGAAGAACCUUACCUGGGCUUGACAUCCUGAGAACCCUCCCGAAACGGAGGGGUGCCCUUCGGGGAAUUCAGUGACAGGUGCUGCAUGGCUGUCGUCAGUUCGUGCCGUGAGGUGUUGGGUUAAGUCCCGCAACGAGCGCAACCCCUAUUGCUAGUUGCCAUCACAUAAUGGUGGGCACUCUAGUGAGACUGCCCGGGUCAACCGGGAGGAAGGUGGGGACGACGUCAAGUCAUCAUGGCCCUUACGCCCAGGGCUACACACGUACUACAAUGGUGCAUACAAAGGGCAGCGAAACCGCGAGGUCAAGCCAAUCCCAAAAAAUGCAUCCCAGUCCGGAUCGGAGUCUGCAACUCGACUCCGUGUUUUUGGAAUCGCUAGUGGUCCCUGAACAGCAUGCCGGGGUGAAUACGUU